GCUGACGAGUGGCGGACGGGUGAGUAAUGUCUGGGAAACUGCCUGAUGGAGGGGGAUAACUACUGGAAACGGUAGCUAAUACCGCAUAACGUCCCAAGACCAAAGAGGGGGACCUUCGGGCCUCUUGCCAUCGGAUGUGCCCAGAUGGGAUUAGCUUGUUGGUGGGGUAACGGCUCACCAAGGCGACGAUCCCUAGCUGGUCUGAGAGGAUGACCAGCCACACUGGAACUGAGACACGGUCCAAACUCCUACGGGAGGCAGCAGUGGGGAAUAUUGCACAAUGGGCGCAAGCCUGAUGCAGCCAUGCCGCGUGUAUGAAGAAGGCCUUCGGGUUGUAAAGUACUUUCAGCGGGGAGGAAGGGAGUAAAGUUAAUACCUUUGCUCAUUGACGUUACCCGCAGAAGAAGCACCGGCUAACUCCGUGCCAGCAGCCGCGGUAAUACGGAGGGUGCAAGCGUUAAUCGGAAUUACUGGGCGUAAAGCGCACGCAGGCGGUUUGUUAGUCAGAUGUGAAAUCCCCGGGCUCACCUGGGAACUGCAUCUGAUACUGG
rnacentral:rRNA from 1 species